UGUACAGUACUGUAGAUUGAACUCUGGAC
rnacentral:piRNA from 1 species